rnacentral:tRNA from 1 species
GGGGGCGUAGCUCAGAUGGUAGAGCGCUCGCUUAGUAUGAGAGAAGUACGGGUAUCAGUACCCCGCGCCUCCA